rnacentral:lncRNA from 1 species
CUUCUUUUAUUCUUCUCUUACUUUUCUUUCCUUGAUUAUGCUGCUAUCAUAGACUAGAAACCAGCACACAAGGGGAUGCCCAAAGCCUUGGGACGUGGAGGAAGAAGGGACAUCCAAAGGGGUGGGGUGUUUGGAUGUCCACGAGAGAAGAGAGGGAGAGAGGGAGAGAGGAAGAGAGGGUGUGAGGCUCUCCUUGGUGGGC